UGGCGCACGGGUGAGUAACGCGUGGGAACCUGCCCUUGAGUGGGGGAUAACCCGGCGAAAGCCGGGCUAAUACCGCAUACGUCCUGUUGUCGUGGAGAUGGCGGGAGAAAGAUUUAUCGCUCGAGGAGGGGCCCGCAUGGGAUUAGCUAGUUGGUGAGGUAACGGCUCACCAAGGCGAUGAUCCCUAGCUGGUCUGAGAGGAUGAUCAGCCACACUGGGACUGAGACACGGCCCAGACUCCUACGGGAGGCAGCAGUGGGGAAUAUUGGACAAUGGGGGCAACCCUGGUCCAGCAAUGCCGCGUGAGUGAUGAAGGCCUUAGGGUUGUAAAGCUCUUUCGCCCGCGACGAUGAUGACGGUCGCGGGAGAAGAAGCCCCGGCUAACUUCGUGCCAGCAGCCGCGGUAAUACGAAGGGGGCGAGCGUUGUUCGGAAUUACUGGGCGUAAAGGGCGCGCAGGCGGCGCAUGAAGUCAGGUGUGAAAGCCCCGGGCUCAACCUGGGAAUUGCACUUGAUACUCGUGUGCUGGAGUGCGGGAGAGGAGAGUGGAAUUC
rnacentral:rRNA from 1 species